AUCAGCACUGAACACAGGCCACUUGCCAUGAACUCAGGACUCAAAUUAGUUUUCUUUGUCCUUAUUCUAAAAGGUGUCCAGUGUGAGGUGCAGUUGGUGGAGUCUGGGGGAGGCUUAGUACAGCCUGGAAAGUCCCUGAAACUCUCCUGUGAGGCCUCUGGAUUCACCUUCAGUAGCUUUGGCGUGAACUGGGUCCGCCAGGCUACAGGGAAGGAGCUGGAGUGGGUCGCAUCCAUUAGUAAUGAUGGUAGUAAUAACUAUUAUGCCAACGCUGUGAAGGGCCGAUUCACCAUCUCCAGAGACAAUGCCAAGAACACACUGUUCCUACAAAUGAACAAUCUGAAGUCUGAGGACACUGCCACAUAUUACUGUGCAAGAGGCACAGAUGCUCAGGACCAGCAGGGGGCGCAGAGAGCACAGGUUCCUCUGGGUCAAGAAGAACCUGUAGAGAAGGGUAUAAAGGACUGGACUCCUCUGUGUCUGGGCUGCUGCUCCAUGUCACAGUCGGGGAUUCUUUCUACAGGCGUGGUGUCCCAGAAUCCUUGA